GGUUGUGGCUCAGUGGUAGAGUGCUUGUCUAGCCUGUGUGAGGCACUGGGUUCGAUCCCAAGCACCA
rnacentral:tRNA from 1 species